GACUCCAAAAUGAGAGCAAAAGAAGAUUAUUGCUUUGAACCACUCAUGUGGUAACUAAGUCUAGGAACAAUGAGGGUUGCAGCGGAAACAGCGGCAUUGGGAGAGCAAGCUUCCUUCCACCAGCUGCAGUCAAAGCUGCAGGUUCUCUGGGGCAGGGAACUGGUCUGUGCUGUGUUGUAGCUGCCAGAGGACAAACAGCGCAGGUUGAGUAAGAUCCUCUUCAAAGGACCAGAUCCCAGGACUUCAGCCACAGUGGCUCACGGGAAAGUGUGUUGAUGAAUUUCACUUCAUAAAUUAUAACUGCUGCUCCUUUAACAGUGGUGAUAGAAAAUAAAUCCAAAUUCUCGAUCUCCAACCACAAUAUCAUUAAGGACCUUCACGUUUCCACCCUCUGUGGAUUGCAAACUAUACAUCCAACAUGGACUACUGAAAAGAAAGAUGAAGCUCUCCAGGAUGCCAAGAAGGUCAUUUGCCCAAGGCCUCACAGAGAGCCAGGGGAAGGUUCUGGGUGUGAACCAAGCUCUCUGGCCUGUCCUCAUACUCAAAAUGGAAGGGACAAGUCGGUGCAGUUGGGGAUUCCGUUCCUCUAAUUAUUCCAGUUACCAGAGGCUUUCAUAUCUUUUCCUUGUCAUCCUAAAUGAUUCGUUUUGAGUGCUGAGGUUUCAUGUUGAAAAUAU